AUGCAACAGGCAACAUGGAUAGCCAUGAAUCCGCGAGCGAGCGAGCACAGAGGUGGCGCGGGGCUCGGUGGUCUGUGGUUUCAGGUUAUCAUCAGCUUCCACGGCAGACUGCAUGCAUUGCAAGCAGCCUCCUGCGUGGAUAGUGCAGUGCAGGCUUUACUUGCUUUCACUGUAGCAGUUUCAGGCUUCGGCCGCAGACAGCAGCACAGCAGAGCACACCACAGGUCAAAGGCAGCACGUUUCAUCACACAUGCUGACAUGCAUGCAGCUACCACCACUAUCAGGCCAGGCCUAGCCGCCGUGCUUCUCAUGUUUGCUACAGAAGAACAUGCACUCGUCCCUGUUCAACGUGUGUACACGUACGUAGAUCCGGGUUUUGUAUGUCGCACCUGUAGUGUCUCUCUUCCUCUGUAUUUACUUGUAUCUUAA
rnacentral:rRNA from 1 species